ACUCUCAGUUCGGAUUGUAGGCUGAAACUCGCCUACAUGAAGCUGGAGUUACUAGUAAUCGCAGAUCAGAAUGUUGCGGUGAAUGCGUUCCCGGGUCUUGUACACACCGCCCGUCACACCACGGGAGUUGGAGACGCCCGAAGCCGAUUAUCUAACCUUUUGGAAGAAGUCGUCGAAGGUGGAAUCAAUAACUGGGGUGAA
rnacentral:rRNA from 1 species